GAUGAACGCUGGCGGCGUGCUUAACACAUGCAAGUCGAACGGUGAAGGCGGAGCUUGCUCUGCUGGAUCAGUGGCGAACGGGUGAGUAACACGUGAGCAAUCUGCCCCUGACUCUGGGAUAAGCGCUGGAAACGGCGUCUAAUACUGGAUACGAGCUGCGAAGGCAUCUUCAGCAGCUGGAAAGAACUUCGGUCAGGGAUGAGCUCGCGGCCUAUCAGCUUGUUGGUGAGGUAACGGCUCACCAAGGCGUCGACGGGUAGCCGGCCUGAGAGGGUGACCGGCCACACUGGGACUGAGACACGGCCCAGACUCCUACGGGAGGCAGCAGUGGGGAAUAUUGCACAAUGGGCGAAAGCCUGAUGCAGCAACGCCGCGUGAGGGACGACGGCCUUCGGGUUGUAAACCUCUUUUAGCAGGGAAGAAGCGAAAGUGACGGUACCUGCAGAAAAAGCGCCGGCU
rnacentral:rRNA from 1 species